CGUGCACCAGUGGGGUCCCUUGGCCUGGCCUGUGUUCUCUCGCAAUCCGCAAUCCGGGACCCCUCGGGGAUGUCAAAGAGCUUAUUUCAGCCCGAUCCCGCAGGCCAGGCCGAGGGACCCCACUGGUGCACG
rnacentral:pre_miRNA from 1 species